rnacentral:rRNA from 1 species
AUUGAACGCUGGCGGCAGGCCUAACACAUGCAAGUCGAACGCGUGGCGGACGGGUGAGUAAUGUCUGUGAAACUGCUCGCUGGUGGGGGAUAACUACUGGAAACGGUAGCUAAUACCGCAUACCAUCGGAUGUGCCCAGAUGGGAUUAGCUAGUAGGUUGGGUAACGGCUCACCUAGGCGACGUUCCCUAGCUGGUCUGAGAGGAUGACAAGCCACACUGGAACGGAGACACGGUCCAGACUCCGACGUGAGGCAGCAGUGGGGAAUAUUGCACAAUGGGCGCAAGCCUGAUGCAGCCAUGCCGCGUGUAUGAAGAAGGCCUUCGGUUUGUAAAGUAAUUUCAGCGAGGAGGCGUUACUAGAAGAAGAAGCACCGGCUAACUCCGUGCCAGCAGCCGCGGUAAUUC